AUCAGCGGUAAACGACCUAUAUCCUUUUUUUUUUUUUUUGUCUGCUGGUGUCUCUUUCGCCUCGCUUUUCUAUUUUUCAGUUCGCUUCCGUCUCCUUCGCACGCUUCUUUUUCCUUCGGCUAUCUGUUAGAGAUGAAGCUUGGGUUUACGAGAGAAUCAAGUUUAGUUUUGUAUUUCAACUCAUUAUUGUCAAGAUGGAAGCCAAUCACAUUUGAAGAAUCUCUCCACUUUGUGAAGAAAGUAAAGGUGAAUUGGCUAAUGAUUAUUUUCCCCUUCUGGGUUCAAAUGACUCAAAUUUAGCACAUUAUAAUGUCCUUUUUGUGAGUGUUAAUUUUUUGAAAAAUUGUGAAACGCCUAGCAAUGACCUUUAUGUGAAUAAAGGAAACUUACGCCGAAUUAAAAUUGAUGAAAAAGCAUGCUCUGAAUGAUCUUUCUCUUACAAAACUCCUGUGAGCUGUGAUACUGCUAGUCAUCAACCAAUUUCAAGCACGUCAGUAUCAUAGCUUAAGUGUUGGUGAAGUAGAAUGAUUUGGAAUACAAUUCAUCUUAUUAAUCUUAGAUUUGAUCCUGAUAGGCUAUGUUAGUUCCUUGAAUUUUCCUUAUAUUGUGCCAAGGUAAAGAUGUUGAAGGGGAGCCUUGGCGCAACGAGAAGUUGCUGCCUGUGUUACUUAAUGGUCACGGGUUUAAGUCGCAGAAAUAAUAUUUUGCAAUGCAGGAUAAGACUAUAUAUAAUAGACCUAAUACAAUCUGACUCUUCCCUGAGACCUGCAUUGGGAGGAAUUUCGGGCAACCGAUUGCCCUUUUUUGCGCCAAGGUAGAGAUGUUAAGGAUAAUAUUUUAGAAAAAUUGACAAAAUUUUAUCCCAGUAAAGAGUACCAAAUUUCAACUAAAAGUACAUUUUGGCAUGAUUAGUACUCUUAGCUGUAGUGGGCCUUGUGGCAACUGUACAAAUUAUUAGAAGGAUUGAAAUUAGUUUGGGCAUUGUCUAUCAUUUUGUCUCACUAUGAAUUAUUGUUCUCAAAGCACUAUUUCGUGCACAACUAUCAUGGUUUUAUUAUAUUAUUGUCUUUUGCCCUAAAUUGUCUUUUUUACCAUAAUAAAAGGAUACUAUUAGAACUUUAUUGGUUUUUUUCCGCAUUCAGUUUUUAAUGAAGAAUGGGAGUAAGUAACAGACCGUGCUUUGCAGCUAGGGAAAUAACUUUCCUACCUUUCUUCGGCCACAGCUCACCUUUUUUUUCUCCCUUUGUAACGAAAUACUCUGACAUUCUCUAACCAAUUAGUAAUACUAAUACUUUGCAAUAUAUGAAUUUCAACUAAAAGCAUAAUGUUAUUGGUUUGGAAAAUCCAAACAUUGAUGAAAAUCCAAACUUAAAGGAUUGAUUAUACAAGCGUUCAUUUAGAUGCAUAAAAAAAAAGUUGGAAUAGGGUUUGGCAACACGCUACGUUUCGUCACUGUGAAGAUGAAUGCAUAGUAGACAUUCGGCCAAGGGUUUAGUAGCCAGCCAUUUCAUGUGUCAUAAUUUGCUUAUAAUCAGUGUUUGCAUCAGGCUCGUGAUUUUCACAUGUACAUGGCAUUGUUUGAAAUUCUCAGCCAGAAGGACCAGAUGCCUUCAGAAACCUACCAUGAUCUAUUGUUGCUCUUUGAGAGUCAUGAUGAUCUUCUCAAGGAAUUGAUGCGAUUCAAACCUCAUAAUUUCGAAGGAACGAUUAGCCAACACAAUUCAUCCAGAAUGUCUCUUUUUCUUGUGCCAUUGUUUAUCUUGAGUUUGAUUAUGAUGUUUGAGCAACCUAUGAGCUAUUUUAUUCAACAAGCUUUCAGAACAUAACCCAACUUCUCAAGGGUUAGUAUAAUGUGCACAUACCAUUCUCCUUAUGGAAUAAAUAUAUAUUUCU